rnacentral:rRNA from 1 species
UACGUAGGGGGCAAGCGUUGUCCGGAAUCAUUGGGCGUAAAGAGCGUGUAGGCGGCCAGAUAAGUCAGCUGUGAAAUCUCGAGGCUCAACUUCGAGAUGUCGGUGGAAACUGUCUGGCUAGAGUCCGGAAGAGGAGAAUGGAAUUCCUGGUGUAGCGGUGAAAUGCGCAGAUAUCAGGAAGAACACCCGUGGCGAAGGCGGUUCGCUGGGACGGUACUGACGCUGAGACGCGAAAGCGUGGGGAGCGAACAGG